rnacentral:rRNA from 1 species
UACGGGGGGGGCAAGCGUUGUUCGGAAUUACUGGGCGUAAAGGGCCAGUAGGCGGCCAACUAAGUCGGAUGUGAAAUCCCCAGGCUUAACCUGGGAACUGCAUCCGAUACUGGAUGGCUUGAAUUCGGGAGAGGGAUGCAGAAUUCCAGGUGUAGCGGUGAAAUGCGUAGAUAUCUGGAGGAAUACCGGUGGCGAAGGCGGCAUCCUGGACCGACAUUGACGCUGAACGGCGAAAGCUAGGGGAGCAAACGGGAUUAGAUACCCCCGUAGUCC